rnacentral:rRNA from 1 species
GACGAACGCUGGCGGCGUGCUUAACACAUGCAAGUCGAACGGAAAGGCCCCGUUGGGGGUACUCGAGUGGCGAACGGGUGGGUAACACGUGCGUAACCUACCCUUGACUUCGGGAUAACUUCAGGAAACUGGGGCUAAUACCGGAUAGGAAUCCUUGCUGCAUGGUGGGGGUUGGAAAGCUUCGUCGGUUUUGGGUGGACUCACGGCUUAUCCGCUUGUUGGUGGGGUAGUGGCUUACCAAGGCUUUGACGGGUAGCCGGACUGAGAGGACGACCGGCCACACAGGGACUGGGACCCGGCGCAGACUCCUGCGGGAGGCAGGAGUGGGGAAUAUUGGACAAUGGGCGAAAGCCUGAUCCAGCGAUGCCGCGUGAGUGAUGAAGGCGUUAGGGUUGUAAAGCUCUUUUACCCGGGAUGAUAAUGACAGUACCGGGAGAAUAAGCUCCGGCUAACUCCGUG